UACAGGGGGGGCAAGGGUUGUUCGGAAUUACUGGGCGUAAAGGGCUCGUAGGUGGCCAACUAAGUCAGACGUGAAAUCCCUCAGCUUAACUGGGGAACUGCGUCUGAUACUGGAUGGCUUGAGUUUGGGAGAGGGAUGCGGAAUUCCAGGUGUAGCGGUGAAAUGCGUAGAUAUCUGGAGGAACACCGGUGGCGAAGGCGGCAUCCUGGACCAAUACUGACACUGAGGAGCGAAAGCCAGGGGAGCAAACGGG
rnacentral:rRNA from 1 species